UGCGGUUAAACAAAUAAUACAAUUUAAUUUUAUUAAUAUUAAUUAAUUUGAUUAUUUAAUUUUAAUAAAAAAUUUAUUAAGUGGAAUUUUAAAUUUUUUAAAAGUUAAUUAUUUUAAAUGAAGUUAAGAAAAUUUUAAUUUAGACUAGGAUUAGAUACCCUAUUAUUAAAAAGGUAAUUUUAUUUAUUAAAUUAGUAUUAGUUAUGUUCUUAAAAAUUAAAAAUUUUGGCGGUAUUUUAGUCUUUUCAGAGGAACCUGUUCUAUAAAUGAUAAUCCACGAUUUAAUUUACUUUUUUUAUUAGUUUAUAUAUCGUCGUAAUUAAAUAUUUUAUUAGAAUUUUAAUAUUUAAGAUUUUUUAUUAAAAAAUUAAUCAGAUCAAGGUGUAGUUUAUAAAAAAGAAGAAAUGGGUUACAUUUAAUUUAUUAUUGGAUUAUUAUUAUUAUUAAUAAUAUAAAUUUGGAUUUGAAAGUAAAAUUAAUUAAUUAAUUAGUUUGAUUUAGCUCUAAAAUAUGU
rnacentral:rRNA from 1 species